UACGGAGGGGGCAAGCGUUAUUCGGAAUUAUUGGGCGUAAAGGGCGCGUAGGCGGCUAGAUGUGUCAAAGGUGAAAUCCCUCGGCUCAACUGAGGAACUGCCUUUGAAACUGUCUGGCUUGAGGCCGGGAGAGGGUAGCGGAAUCCCCAGUGUAGCGGUGAAAUGCGUAGAUAUUGGGAGGAACACCAGUGGUGAAGGCGGCUACCUGGACCGGUUCUGACGCUGAGGCGCGAAAGCGUGGGUAGCAAACAGG
rnacentral:rRNA from 1 species